rnacentral:lncRNA from 1 species
GACACCAUAGAGGUGGGCCUUUGGCGAGUCACAGGCGCGGGUGUUCGGCUACGUCACUGGGGCGCUACGGUGCCUGGAGCUGGGCAGUCUUCUCGUCAGAGUGGGGACUGGUAAGAGCGACCUCACCGCCAGGUCCUGUGUGUUGCCGGCUGAAGAAGGGUAGCUGAAAAAUUCAGACCCAGCACAGUGUUUAUGUUGGUCAAAAAUAGAAAACUAUGUCUGCCGCGGCCGAGGCAGGAGGACCCUUCAGGCCAAGAGCAGCCUAGCAACAUGGCGCAACCCCAUCUCUGUAGUCCUACCUCAGCCCCCCAGCUACUUGAACCCAAAGGUUCAAGGCUCCAGUGAGCUAUGAUCCCACCACAGCAUUCCAGCCUGCGAGAUUGAGAUGAUGAUUAUUCCCCACCUUCUAAGAGACAAAGACCAACGAUCCACCACAGCCACCAGUCCCAGAACCCGCCAAUGCUGGGGAAUGGAAAAUGAGGGAGUUCAACUCUGGCCCUCACAAUCCAGUGGAGGAGACGAAACUCAUCUGCCUCUGUCCCUCUGGGCACGCCUCAUGCCAGGUGCAUCUGUGGACAGGGGCCAUGCUCCUGGGCUUCCAAAGUUGGAGAAAGCUGCCAGGCUCAGGUCUGAAGGCCAGAAUUCUACAGUAAGUCCUACUGAGUCAAGGUGGGAGCAGGGUCGGUGGCUUCCGAGGCUCUGCGGGAGAAUCCGUUUCCUGGCCGUAGAGGUGGCCUGCACUCCUCAGCUUGUGCUGCCCGUCUCGAAUGACUGGAGUUUCCUGCUUCUGUCACUACACCUCCCACCCUCUCCAUCACCUGCUCUGCUCUUAUAAGGAUCCGAGUGGAGUCUUGCUCUGUCAUCCAGGCUGGCAGUGGCGUG